GGGAAGGCUUAGACAGCUAGGAUGUUGGCUUAGAAGCAGCCAUCAUUUAAAGAAAGCGUAAUAGCUCACUAGUCGAGUCGGCCUGCGCGGAAGAUGUAACGGGGCUAAAAUUAGUCACCGAAGCUGCGGCAUCAGGCGUAUCACUAAUACGCCUUACGAUUAACAACUUGCGAAACGAAGAGAAGCAAGUUGGUCAAGCGCCAAACACGUUGAGACGGAAGUCAUGACGGGAAGUGCGGUUGGGAAUUGAGGAAUAUUAGUGAUACGCCUGUUGGGUAGGGGAGCGUUGUGUAAGCGGAAGAAGGUGUAUUGAGAGGUAUGCUGGACGUAUCACAAGUGCGAAUGCUGACAUAAGUAACGAUAAAACGGGUGAAAAACCCGUUCGCCGGAAGACCAAGGGUUCCUGUCCAACGUUAAUCGGGGCAGGGUGAGUCGGCCCCUAAGGCGAGGCUGAAAAGCGUAGUCGAUGGGAAACGGGUUAAUAUUCCCGUACUUGGUAAAGCUGCGAUGUGGGGACGGAGCAGGUUAGGUUAGCGUGCUGUUGGAUAUGCACGUUUAAGUUGGUAGGUGGGGAGCUUAGGCAAAUCCGGGUUCCUGUUAACACUGAGAGAUGAUGACGAGGCCUUAAGGGGCUGAAGUAACUGAUACCAUACUUCCAGGAAAAGCCACUAAGCGAAAGGCUUUACUAAACCGUACUGAAAACCGACACAGGUGGUCAGGUAGAGAAUACUCAGGCGCUUGAGAGAACUCGGGUGAAGGAACUAGGCAAAAUAGCACCGUAACUUCGGGAGAAGGUGCGCCGGCGUAGAUUGUAAGGGCUUGCCCCUGAAGGUUGAACCGGUCGAAGAUACCAGCUGGCUGCAACUGUUUAUUAAAAACACAGCACUCUGCAAACACGAAAGUGGAGGUAUAGGGUGUGAUGCCUGCCCGGUGCUGGAAGGUUAAUUGAUGGUGUAAUCGCAAGAGAAGCACCUGAUCGAAGCCCCAGUAAACGGCGGCCGUAACUAUAACGGUCCUAAGGUAGCGAAAUUCCUUGUCGGGUAAGUUCCGACCUGCACGAAUGGCAUAAUGAUGGCCAGGCUGUCUCCACCCGAGACUCAGUGAAAUUGAAAUCGCCGUGAAGAUGCGGUGUACCCGCGGCUAGACGGAAAGACCCCGUGAACCUUUACUAUAGCUUGACACUGAACAUUGAAUUUUGAUGUGUAGGAUAGGUGGGAGACUGAGAAGCGAGCACGCUAGUGCUUGUGGAGUCGACGUUGAAAUACCACCCUUUAACGUUUGAUGUUCUAACGAGGCAUCGAUUACAGGUGUUCGGACAGUGUCUGGUGGGUAGUUUGACUGGGGCGGUCUCCUCCCAAAGGAUAACGGAGGAGCACGAAGGUUUGCUAAUCACGGUCGGACAUCGUGAGGUUAGUGCAAUGGUAUAAGCAAGCUUAACUGCGAGACGGACAGGUCGGGCAGGUACGAAAGUAGGUCAUAGUGAUCCGGUGGUUCUGCAUGGAAGGGCCAUCGCUCAACGGAUAAAAGGUACUCCGGGGAUAACAGGCUGAUACCGCCCAAGAGUUCAUAUCGACGGCGGUGUUUGGCACCUCGAUGUCGGCUCAUCACAUCCUGGGGCUGAAGUAGGUCCCAAGGGUAUGGCUGUUCGCCAUUUAAAGUGGUACGCGAGCUGGGUUUAGAACGUCGUGAGACAGUUCGGUCCCUAUCUGCCGUGGGCGUAGGAGAAUUGAUUGGGGCUGCUCCUAGUACGAGAGGACCGGAGUGGACGCACCGCUGGUGUUCCGGUUGUGUCGCCAGACGCAUAGCCGGGUAGCUAAGUGCGGGAGAGAUAAGUGCUGAAAGCAUCUAAGCACGAAACUUGCCAAGAGAUGAGUUCUCCCAGACUUUAGGUCUGUAAGGGUUGUUUAAGACGAAGACGUGGAUAGGCGUGGUGUGUAAGCGUAGUGAUAUGUUGAGCUAACACGUACUAAUUGCCCGAGGGACUUAGCCAUACAACGCUCAAG
rnacentral:rRNA from 1 species